GAUGAACGCUGGCGGCGUGCUUAACACAUGCAAGUCGAACGGAAAGGCUCCUGCUUGCAGGGGUACUCGAGUGGCGAACGGGUGAGUAACACGUGGGUGAUCUGCCCAGCACUUCGGGAUAAGCCUGGGAAACUGGGUCUAAUACCGGAUAGGACGAUGGUUUGGAUGCCAUUGUGGAAAGUUUUUUCGGUGUGGGAUGAGCUCGCGGCCUAUCAGCUUGUUGGUGGGGUAAUGGCCUACCAAGGCGUCGACGGGUAGCCGGCCUGAGAGGAUGUACGGCCACAUUGGGACUGAGAUACGGCCCAGACUCCUACGGGAGGCAGCAGUGGGGAAUAUUGCACAAUGGGCGCAAGCCUGAUGCAGCGACGCCGCGUGGGGGAUGACGGCCUUCGGGUUGUAAACUCCUUUCGCUAGGGACGAAGCGCAAGUGACGGUACCUGGAGAAGAAGCACCGGCUAACUACGU
rnacentral:rRNA from 1 species